GCAGAUGUAGUUUAGUGGUAGAACUUCAGAUUUCCAAUCUGAUUGCGGGAGUUCAAUUCUCCCCAUCUGCU